rnacentral:rRNA from 1 species
GAUGAACGCUGGCGGCGUGCCUAAUACAUGCAAGUCGAGCGAACAGACGAGGAGCUUGCUCCUUUGACGUUAGCGGCGGACGGGUGAGUAACACGUGGGUAACCUACCUAUAAGACUGGGAUAACUUCGGGAAACCGGAGCUAAUACCGGAUAAUAUUUCGAACCGCAUGGUUCGAUAGUGAAAGAUGGCUUUGCUAUCACUUAUAGAUGGACCUGCGCCGUAUUAGCUAGUUGGUAAGGUAACGGCUUACCAAGGCAACGAUACGUAGCCGACCUGAGAGGGUGAUCGGCCACACUGGAACUGAGACACGGUCCAGACUCCUACGAGAGGCAGCAGUAGGGAAUCUUCCGCAAUGGGCGAAAGCCUGACGGAGCAACGCCGCGUGAGUGAUGAAGGUCUUCGGAUCGUAAAACUCUGUUAUUAGGGAAGAACAAACGUGUAAGUAACUGUGCACGUCUUGACGGUACCUAAUCAGAAAGCCACGGCUAACUACGUG